CUCCAGGCGGAGCCUUUGGUUGGCACUCUUGUUCCCGAGGCCCAAACAAGAAUCGCGGCCUCGGCCCCGGGGAGGCGGGGAGGGGGGAUUUGGCUGGCUCGCGGCGGCGACUCAAAGGGAGAAGAAAACAGGGAGAGUCAGGCUUGGUAGACACGGAAAAAGCCCCAGGGCGGGCACAGAGCCUAAAGAGCACCCCCUCGCCUCAGCUCCCUGGGCAAGGCAAAGGAGGGAUUGGAAUGUCUCCUCAACCCUGAUGAAGGAAGAAGGGCUCAACACACACCCUGGAAGAGACAAGGCAUGGAGUUGUGGUCUCUGCAGUGAUAAGUGCUGAGACAUAAGAUCAUCUGAAAGUUGGAAGAAUCCUGUUGGAUCCCAUCCAGCAUCCUGUUUCCCAAAGUGAUAAACCACAUGUCCUCUAAAAGCCUAUAAGAAGGGUGAGAAAGCUUACCCCUAUACAUAGAAUUCCAACGUAAAAUAUUGUCACAGACCUCUGCCAUGGAUUGUGAUCUAAGAUUAUUAUAACAAUGUCAAUCAUAGUCUUCAUUCCGGAAUUCUAUGGCAUUAAUCCCAAAUCUUACUCAAUGCAAAGGGAGAGGCACAGGCUUCCAUUAGUAAUCUUGAGACUGGACCAAAUCUAAUAUAUUUUCAUUCUUAGAUUAAGCUAAAAGGUCACACUACCUUCAACUGAACUCUAUCUAGAUCUUUGGAACUUCAAGCACCACAGUUACCAAGAAUUUUUUGACCUUGCAGGUUUGGGAAUAAUAAAGGCUGAAUGCCAGUAACUCUGAAGGACAAUGAGAUGUUUUCUGGAUACCCAGAGAAAAAAAUAUUAUCAACUAAGAGUACAAUCCUGAAUAAAAUGCCCUGCUCAUGCUUU